UAGGUCAGAAAGUAUUCAUUCCCCAAUUAUCACAAUCACCUAUUCCGUGCCAAAAUGAUUGCAAACUAGCCCUUCGCCGCCUUGGAUACCAGCGACCAAUUCCACUCACCGUUCAUUAAUGGUGGAUAUAGAUGGAGAGACCGAAUAAUUCAUAAACACGAAACCAUUAAAGAUUCAGUAUGCGUGUUGAAAUGUCAUGGUAGAGAGGAAACGGGGGAAGAAAUAGACUAAAUAACUAAGUUUGAAGGUUAUAUUAGGUAAAUACAGCUGCCACCAAACCAAAGACCAGACCGGUAAACCACCAUCAGAGUGAUUCAACUCCAACAACUGGGAAUUCAGUUGAGGGCUGCAACCAUUCCAUAUUUCCAUAGAUAAGUUCCAAUUUUAUCUUUGAUAUUUAGAAAUUGAAAUUGUUUUCAAUUUAUAACUGCUUUCUAGCUCGUUGUGCUCUUUUGAAUACGAAGUUGAGACGAAUUUAUUAUUAUUUAUUAACAAUUUAUUUGUUGCAUUACAUUUCUUUAUGUUUCACAGCAAUAAAUAUUAAUUGAAGUAUCAUGUCCAGGGAUGGUUUGUUUAUUUAAUUCAUAAUGUGUUUCUAGCUUUUCCACAUUAUUCUAUUCACUAUAAAGUCGUUCGUUAAAAAGCUGGUAGCGUCCAAUUUAAUAUUGACUGUGCUCUGAAGCAAUUGCAUAUUUCCCGUCUAGUAUUUGCAGUAUGAUUCCCUAGUAAAAUGAUCGUUCUUUCUAUAAUUAGUUUUUAUCAAGAGUUUCGACAUAACUCUGCCAUUACGAUUUAUACCCUAGAAACCACUCCAAACACUUUGAUAUCAACCAAACAUAUCUAGCUUGGAACUUUACUCCCAUGAGUCAGAAUAUACCAGGUUAAUCCAUUAGUCUUAUAUCUUUUAUUUCUAUUCAGUCGCAGUUAUUUUGUACGCCCCAGCUUAAUGUGUAAUAAUGCAGAGAACUAUGAAAGGAAAUCAUGUCAGAUUUAAUUACUUCAUAUCCCAACUUGGGAAAUAAUAUGAUUGUUGUGAGUACGUCGCAAUAAAAUACCAAAGUAUAUAUACAGAGCUUUCGAUUAACUAUGUAUUAAUCAUCAGCGAUGCAAAUCAACUGUAAAAAAGACAAUGAACGUAUGGAGUUUGUUCAAUUUCACGUUCGUUGUUAUUUUAAAAGUUGUAUUUUAUAUUAUAUCCACGACUGUUGUAUAGUAAACACGGCUAUGAUUAAUGAAUCCAUUAAUCGCAGCUAUCAGAUACUUGUUUGAUUUAGCUAUAAAAUUAUAUUUUUCUGCUACAAAGAAUCUGUUUUUGAAAUUUUAUCAUGUAAACCACUGAUACUAAUAAAAUUAAAAAAAAAGAAAAUUUAUAAACCGUUAUCGAAACAGGGACCCGUAGUUGAAAAACGCGGAGCAUCUACAGUCAUCAGCGACUUGGAAUGUGUGUUGUACAUCGUUUCUUAACAUAUUUUGUUUUUCUAAACAAUUUAUAAAUCGAAGUAGCUUUUAGAACAAAAAAAAUACUGAAACCUGUUGAAAUUAUUGUUUGUGUGCAUAGAUUACUCAGUGUUCUAAUAUUUGAUGUCAAAUUGUGUUGAAAUAUCGAAUAAAAAUGGAUGUAGGAAAUGGAAAUGACUUUUCUUUAACACCACUAGAGAAAAUGUUGAAGUGCCUCAAUAAAUUUAUUGCCAGAAAAGUCAAGGAAAUUAUAUAAGAUGGUCUAUGAAUUUAUUUAAUCUGGCAAAAUGAAUUAUUAGUAAUUAGAAAUAAAUACCACCAUCUUGUAGGAUUAAAUACUUAAUAUUUGUUAAGCCAAAUACAUAGAUUUUUGUGUUAAUUAUCUUAAGAUAUUCUACAAUUAUUUCCGAUAACUAUGUACUGUGAAUAAAUGAACAAUUAUAUAUCGUAUGAAAUAUUUGUUGGAAUAAAAUAAUAGGUUUUCUAAUAAUGUAACAAAAUUUUCUAAUCGAAAAGCUCAAAAAUAUUUACUAGUCGUGGAUAAAAUAUAGUAUUCUACUCGUGUAUGACUAGUUAUUAUUCAUAUAUUCAAUAAUAACCUUCAUUAUAUACUCGAUGUUGUAAAUUUGACAAAUAAUGUACAUCUUUGGAACACCAUAUUAUUACUAAUUAUUGGUUAUAACACAAAUCAAUUAAUCAAUUAUCACCUAGGUAUUUCUUACUUAAUAUUUGUAAUUUUGAAUAGUGGAUAGUCUAGCUGUAACUAAUAAGAAGUCAUCGAUUAUUUAGUAUUAAAGUUGAUAGAUAGAUGGA